UCGCCUGUUUAUCAAAAACAUCGCCUCUUGUAAAACAUAACAAAUAAGAGGUCCCGCCUGCCCUGUGACUAUUAGUUUAACGGCCGCGGUAUUUUGACCGUGCGAAGGUAGCGCAAUCACUUGUCUUUUAAAUGAAGACCUGUAUGAAUGGCAUAACGAGGGCUUAACUGUCUCCUCUUUCUAGUCAAUGAAAUUGAUCUUCCCGUGCAGAAGCGGGAAUAAUAACAUAAGACGAGAAGACCCUAUGAAGCUUUAGACACCAAGACAGAUCAUGCUAAACACCCCCUGAUAAGGGACUAAACCAAAUGAACCCUGUCCUCAUGUCUUUGGUUGGGGCGACCGCGGGGAAACAAAAAACCCCCACGUGGAAUGGGAGUACCUCUCCUACAACUGUGAGUCCCAGCUCUAGUUAACAGAACUUCUGACCAAUAAGAUCCGGCAAUGCCGAUCAACGAACCGAGUUACUCUAGGGAUAACAGCGCAAUCCUCUUUUAGAGCCCCUAUCGACAAAGAGGGUUUACGACCUCGAUGUUGGAUCAGGACAUCCUAAUGGUGCAGCCGCUAUUAAGGGUUCGUUUGUUCAACGAUUAAAGUCCUACGUGAU
rnacentral:rRNA from 1 species